CAAUAGCGUAUAUUAAAGUUGUUGCAGUUAGAACGCUCGUAGUCGGAUUUCGGGGCGGGCCGACCGGUCUGCCGAUGGGUACGCACUGGUCGGCGCGUCCUUCCUUCCGGAGACCGUUCCUACUCUUAACUGAGCGGGGGCGGGAGACGGAUCGUUUACUUUGAAAAAAUCAGAGUGUUUCAAGCAGGCAACUCGCUCUUGCAUGGAUUAGCAUGGGAUAAUGAAAUAGGACUUUGGUGCUAUUUUGUUGGUUUCGAACACCGAAGUAAUGAUUAAUAGGGACAGUCAGGGGCACUCGUAUUCCGCCGAGAGAGGUGAAAUUCUCAGACCAGCGGAAGACGAACCACUGCGAAAGCAUUUGCCAGGGAUGUUUUCACUGA
rnacentral:rRNA from 1 species